rnacentral:rRNA from 1 species
CCUACGGGUGGCAGCAGUGAGGAAUAUUGGUCAAUGGACGAGAGUCUGAACCAGCCAAGUAGCGUGAAGGAUGACUGCCCUAUGGGUUGUAAACUUCUUUUAUAUGGGAAUAAAAUGUUCCACGUGUGGGAUUUUGUAUGUACCAUAUGAAUAAGGAUCGGCUAACUCCGUGCCAGCAGCCGCGGUAAUACGGAGGAUCCGAGCGUUAUCCGGAUUUAUUGGGUUUAAAGGGAGCGUAGGUGGAUUUGUAAGUCAGUUGUGAAAGUUUGCGGUUCAACCGUAAAAUUGCAGUUGAAACUGUCAGUCUUGAGUACAGUAGAGGUGGGCGGAAUUCGUGGUGUAGCGGUGAAAUGCUUAGAUAUCACGAAGAACUCCGAUUGCGAAGGCAGUUCACUGGACUGCAACUGACACUGAGGCUCGAAAGUGUGGGUAUCAAACAGGAUUAGAUACCCGAGUAGUC